GAUAGUGGGGUUUUUAGGUGCACUCAAUGUAUGGGAACCAAUAUUUUUCUCAUUAAAGCAUGAGACUUGGCACACUUGUUACUAAGGUGGACCAGAGUCGAAAACGCCCGGGAGGCAGCGGGAGACACCCCUCUAGGGGGGAGGGGGAGGGGGUGAAGUUUUCCUACGCCGCGCGCACUGUUGGUCGUUAUAACUACUAAACUGUAGCUACUAGGGCAAGUGUGGUAUCAUUUUCGGAUAAAUAAAAGAUGGUCAAUCAUUUUCUAAAACAAAAAAAAAACACCUUUACAUAGAAAAAAAUUGAAAUACGGCCCAAAAUCUAAAAUCUUUUGAGUAAAAAAAAUCUUUCAAGGUCAAUAAAUUUUUAAUGAUUACCGAUAUCGGAUUAUAAAAAAAAUAUAUUUAAAAAGGCGCAUUAAUACAGAUUCCAAAAAUAUAAGUAACAUUGCAAAUAUUUAAGAAAAAAAUUGUUUAAAAAAAUAUAGAACACCGCGCGGCAGAGUCGUAAAAAAUUCUUAGCCAAUUAUGAACAUCAAAAACGAGUUUUAUAGGUUGCUAGUGUCCUGUAAGCUGUAACUAAUAAGGAUGGAGUUUUCAUUAGAUAUAGUAUAUCAUCAUAUCAGCUCAUAUAUGUCCCCACCGAGGGGCUCGAGCCUACCCUGCAUUAGGGUGAUCGGGCCUUAGUCGAUCACGCGAGCCCAGUGCGGGUUGGUCGACUUCACACACAAGCUUCGAGUUUCCUCGCAGCCGUGUGCAGGUUUCCUCACGAUGUUUUCCUUCACCGUAAGAGCGUCGAAUAAACGUACAUAUGAAAUCGAGAUUCGAAAACACAUUGGUAUGCGGCCAGGAUUCGAACCACGACCUCCCGCACAGGAGGUAGCGGUCUUAAGCAUUACGCCACCGACGCUCUCUAUAUAUAGUAUAUAGCUCAAUUUUAAUAAUUAUUUGAUAGAAGACAUUUUUUAUCGUGUGUAUAAGCAUAUUUAAACUUAUGGCUCAGCUGGGCACGAUUUCAAGUGACCCAAAAUCUAUAAAGAAAUUAAACAAACAGUAUAGAAUUUUACUUAAAAAUGUUUAUUAUUUACAUUGUCCCCCACAAUCGCAAAGCUCCGUGCACUUAAGUUGCCGCUGAAAGCACCGGCACCUCGAGCCGCCGCACCUCUUUUUGCAUCUGCACCGGAUCAUUUCCAGGCAUGCAUCUGCAGCUACGGGCAAGUCUGUCCAUGUAGGUUGCCAGCUUUCACUGACUUUUCUCCAUCCCCAGUUAGAUGGAGAGGGAAGAUUUUGAUUCGGUGACAUCUGACCCCAUACAUGGACUGCUUGGAACACUGCCCGCAGGAAAUGCUGGUAUAGAGCAGCUUUCGUCGGAGGUAUAUUCUCCAAUUGGCGGUCUUUUUUCGAGAAUAGGUGCUUUCGGGCUUCGUUUACGGUUGUAAAUGAACUGGCUCUAAAACAAAACAAAAAAAUUAGUUACUAGACUAUUUUAUUGUAUUGCUAGUUUUAAAAAGUGCUUAUUACCUGUCAUAUAAAAUGACGACAAACUUUUCGAUUACUGUAAACGCCUCGCUAGUACUCCCCUCAUAUGCUGUCAGAAACCCUUCUGUGGCAUUGGGAAAUGCGUUCCAUGCAUCUAUUGCACUUUUUUUUCCUUUCCCGUUAAAAUAGGACACUGUAUCACAACCUGUGAAGGCAUGGAACAGGGUGAGGACUUUCGCUUUUUGUGGCCCUGUAAAAGAAAAUAAUAUGUUUUAUAUAGCCCGCCUAGUACCUGAGCUAGAAGAGCUGUGAGUACACGUAGGUACUGGUAAACACCACCAGUACCUUCCUUGUCACGAAAUAGCAAAAACUCUAGGUAAAAAAUAAUUAUAAAUUGUAUUUAUCUACGUUACGCCCUAGCCACUAGCUAGAAUAGAAUAGAAUGCACUGAGACUAUAACGCUAGGCGGGCUAUAUAAAACAUAUUAUUUUCUUUUACAGGGCCACAAAAAGCGAAAGUCCUCCUCCUGUUCCAUGCCUUCACAGGUUGUGAUACAGUGUCCUAUUUUAACGGGAAAGGAAAAAAAAGUGCAAUAGAUGCAUGGAACGCAUUUCCCAAUGCCACAGAAGGGUUUCUGGCAGCAUAUGAGGGGAGUACUAGCGAGGCGUUUACAGUAAUCGAAAAGUUUGUCGUCAUUUUAUAUGACAGAGCCAGUUCAUUUACAACCGUAAACGAAGCCCGAAAGCACCUAUUCUCGAAAAAAGACCGCCAAUUGGAGAAUAUACCUCCGACGAAAGCUGCUCUAUACCAGCAUUUCCUGCGGGCAGUGUUCCAAGCAGUCCAUGUAUGGGGUCAGAUGUCACCGAAUCAAAAUCUUCCCUCUCCAUCUAACUGGGGAUGGAGAAAAGUCAGUGAAAGCUGGCAACCUACAUGGACAGACUUGCCCGUAGCUGCAGAUGCAUGCCUGGAAAUGAUCCGGUGCAGAUGCAAAAAGAGGUGCGGCGGCUCGAGGUGCCGGUGCUUUCAGCGGCAACUUAAGUGCACGGAGCUUUGCGAUUGUGGGGGACAAUGUAAAUAAUAAACAUUUUUAAGUAAAAUUCUA